AUUCCAGUCGAUGCUGCUGGAGGACACUGCUAUCAGAUUUCGACAGCCAUGCAAGUUAGCUCAAAGGCAUCUUUGGGCAGCGUACGGCUCAGUAACACGUAGUUAAUCUAACGUAAAGAAAGGGAUAACCUUGGGAAACUGAGGCUAAUACCUUAUAGAUUAAGACAUCUGGAAGGAGUUUUAAUCGAAAGGAGCAUGAAUUGGAGUGUUUCCGCUUUACGAUGAGACUGCGGCGGAUCAGGCAGAUGGCGGGGUAAUGGCCCACCAUACCUAUAACCCGUAGGGGAUGUGGGAGCAUAAGCCCCGAGAAGGGCACUGAGGCAAGGGCCCUAGCGCUACGGCGUGCAGCAGGCGCGCAAACUCCACAAUGUGCGAAAGCAUGAUGGGGGGAAUCUGAGUGGUUUACGAAAGUAAAUCUUUUGCCAAGUAUAGCAAGCUUGGCGAAUAAGUGCUGGGCAAGACGAGUGGCAGCCGCCACGGUAAUACUCGCAGCACAAGUGGUGUCCACGAUUAUUGGGCUUAAAGCGCUCGUAGCCGGUCAAUGCCGUCUUAUGUGAAAUAUUGGUGCUCAACAUCAAUGCGUGCAUGAGAUACCCAUUGACUAGGGAGCGGGUGAGGUCAAGAGUACUUAUAGGGGAGGGGUAAAAUCCUGUAAUCCUAUAAGGACUAACGGUGGCGAAGGCGCUUGACCAGAACGCAUCCGACGGUGAGGAGCGAAGGCUAGGAGAACGAAUCGGAUCAGAUACCCGAGUAGCCCUAGCAGUAAAUUAUGCAGACUCUGGUGUUGCAAGUAUCUUGAAUGCUUGCAGUACCGUAGCAAAAGCGUUAAGUCUGCCGCCUGGGGAGUACGGUCGCAAGAUUAAAACUUAAAGCAAUUGGCGGGGGAGCACACAAGGGGUGGAUGCUACGGUUUAAUUGAAUCCAACGUCGGAAAUAUUACCGGGAGCGACGGCAGUGUGAAGGCCAGACUAAAGAUCUUACCUGACAAGCCGAGAGGUAGUGCAUGGCGACCGUCAGCUCGUGGUGUGAACUGUCCGGUUAAGUCCGGUAAGUUUAAUGAGUGAUACAAAUGGUGCAAAAACUAAAGCUUAACCCUAAUAGGUGUUAUUUGUUAGGAUUAUACGAAUGCGGAAGCAAGGACCUUAUAAAUUUGAAGACAAGCGAUGAUGAGCUUGCGGAAAAAUUUAUAAAGCUGCUUACAUCCGAAUUCGAGAUAAAGCCUGGCAAGUUACAUAUAGAGAAAAAAGAGAAUUUGAACGUGAUAACCCUUUAUAAUUCAAAAUUGAAAAAGCUAUUCGAUAGAUCCUUAGAAAGGAAAUCCUUUAUAUUCAAAUACCUGAAUGAAUAUUCAUCUGCAUAUUUUGCAGCGAUAUUUGAUUACAAUGGAGGAAGGACUAGCAAUGGCAGGAUUUAUAUCAAUCGUUUGGAUGCGGGUGAUUCCCUAUUAUUGGAAAAGCUCAACAUACAUUCAAAUGGAAAGAGUAAAUCAUUUAUGCUGAACCCUAAUCUGUUUAUAGCACUUAUAAAGGGUUAUAGCUUAAAGGUUGCACGUGUCAUUCAUUGAACCCGGAAACGAGCGAGACUUUUGUCAACAGUUGCCACCAGCUUAGAGAUAGGUUGAGCACUCUGUUGAGACCGCCUCUGUUUAAAGAGGAGGAAGGAGAGAGCGACGAUACGUCAGUAUGCUCCGAAUCUCCCGGGCUACACGCGGCAUACAAAGAUCAGCACAAUGGGACGCAAUGCCGAAAGGCAAAGCAAAUCCCCUAAAACUGACCUAAGUUCGGAUUGAGGGCUGCAACUCGCCCUCAUGAAGAUGGAAUCCCUAGUAAUCGCUUGUCACUAUCGAGCGGUGAAUUUGUCCCUGCUCCUUGCACACACUGCCUACCAAGUCACCCAAGUGAGGUUUUAACGAGGCGAUGCCAUUAGGCAUUUUCGAGUUAGGGUUUCGCGAGGAGGGCUAAGGUAUAACAAGGUAUCCGUAGGGGAACCUGCGGAUAGAUCACCUCAA
rnacentral:rRNA from 1 species